ACGGACGCUGGCGGCGUGCUUAACACAUGCAAGUCGAACGGAAAGGCCCUGCUUGCCGGGUACUCGAGUGGCGAACGGGUGAGUAACACGUGGGUGAUCUGCCCUGCACUUCGGGAUAAGCUUUGGAAACUGGGUCUAAUACCGGAUAGGAGCCAUCUUUAGUGUGGUGGUUGGAAAGUUUUUUCGGUGUAGGAUGAGCUCGCGGCCUAUCAGCUUGUUGGUGGGGUAAUGGCCUACCAAGGCGGCGACGGGUAGCCGGCCUGAGAGGGUGUACGGCCACAUUGGGACUGAGAUACGGCCCAGACUCCUACGGGAGGCAGCAGUGGGGAAUAUUGCACAAUGGGCGCAAGCCUGAUGCAGCGACGCCGCGUGGGGGAUGAAGGCCUUCGGGUUGUAAACUCCUUUCGCUAGGGACGAAGCUUUUUUGUGACGGUACCUAGAUAAGAAGCACCGGCUAACUACGUG
rnacentral:rRNA from 1 species